rnacentral:lncRNA from 1 species
UACACCGGGUAGAUUCAUUAAACAAGUAAAUACUUCCUUCAGAAAUAUAGAAAAUAUUUGUAAAUGCAGGUUUUUGGUGUAUAAGGUACUGAUAAAGAUAUUUGUAAAUGCAGGUUUUUGGUGUAUAAGAUACCGAUAAAGAUAUAUAAGUUAUUUCCACUUUAUUUUGAUCUGGAUUUUGAUUGUUAUCUCGAUAUACAUAUUUAUAAAAUUAUACACUACACUCAUGUUGGGCCCGGGCUACUUUUACUAGUAACAGAAUAAAGGAAAGCAUCUGGCAGUGCAAUCUGCUCAAUUUUUAUAUAGAUAUAUGUAUUUAUUUAUUUUAUCUUGUACAAUAUGACAUUGUGAGUAUUUCAAAGCUUCAUUUCAUAUUCAAAAAAUAACAAAUACAUUUCACUAUAUUUAUUAUUUACAUAUUAAUAAUAAUAAUUUAUUUUAAUU